rnacentral:rRNA from 1 species
AGAGUUUGAUCCUGGCUCAGAGCGAACGUUAGCGGCAGGCCUAACACAUGCAAGUCGCACGAGAAUCCGGCUUCGGCCGGUAGUAAAGUGGCGGACGGGUGAGUAACACGUGGAUAAUCUGCCCUUCGGCGGGGGACAACAGUCCGAAAGGAUUGCUAAUACCGCAUACGUCAGCGAGGUCUUCGGACCUCGUUGGGAAAGAUGGCCUCUUCAUGAAAGCUAUCACCGAAGGAUGAGUCCGCGGCCCAUCAGCUGGUUGGCGGGGUAAUGGCCCACCAAGGCUAAGACGGGUAGCUGGUCUGAGAGGAUGAUCAGCCACACUGGAACUGAGACACGGUCCAGACUCCUACGGGAGGCAGCAGUGGGGAAUAUUGGGCAAUGGGCGCAAGCCUGACCCAGCCAUGCCGCGUGAGUGAUGAAGGCCUUCGGGUCGUAAAGCUCUGUGGGGAGGGAAGAAACCGGACGUGGAUAACACCCACGGCUCUUGACGGUACCUCCUUAGCAAGCACCGGCUAACUCCGUGCCAGCAGCCGCGGUAAUAC